rnacentral:rRNA from 1 species
AGUGAACGCUGGCGGCGUGCCUAAUACAUGCAAGUCGAACGGAAUUUAAAAGAGCUUGCUCUUUUAAAUUUAGUGGCGCACGGGUGAGUAAUAUAUAGCUAAUCUGCCCCUUGCUGGAGGACAACAGUUAGAAAUGACUGCUAAUACUCCAUACUCCUUUUUACCAUAAGAUAAAUCGGGAAAGAAUUUCGGCAAGGGAUGAGACUAUAUCGUAUCAGCUAGUCGGUGGGGUAACGGCCUACCGAGGCUAUGACGCGUAACUGGUCUGAGAGGAUGAUCAGUCACAUUGGAACUGAGACACGGUCCAAACUCCUACGGGAGGCAGCAGUAGGGAAUAUUGCGCAAUGGGGGAAAACCCCUGACGCAGCAACGCCGCGUGGAGGGAUGACACUUUUUCGGAAGCGUAAAACUCCUUUUGGUAAGGG